GGGGCAAAACGUUCUAUCGCUUCGUUCAGUCGAAGAGGAAAGUCCGGGCAACACAGAGUAUCCUGCUUCUUAACGGGAAGGCGCCGUCAGCCGGCGACAGCAAGUGCCACAGAGAAUAUACCGCCUGCUUGCAGGUAAGGGUGAAAACGUGAGGUAAGAGCUCACGGCUUUCCCGGGUGACCGGGAUCGCGGUAAACCUCAGGAGUUGAAAAACCAAAUAGGUCCUGGAUCGGAAGUUACUCGCUUUUGACCCAUUUAGAUGAGUCGCCAGGAUGGGUAGGUUGCUCAAGCUUGUCAGCAAUGGCAGGAUUAGAUUAAUGAUAGAAACCGCUUUCGGGCGGCACAGAACCCGGCUUACAGGUUUGCUGCUGAA
rnacentral:RNase_P_RNA from 1 species